GAGGUGGAAAUGCCUCUUUGAAUCAGGAAUUUCAUUUUUUCUAACAAAAUUUCUUAUUUUAUUAUUAAAAUAAUUCUCUUAUAAACUAAAUUUAAUUACAUUUUUAAAUUUAAAAUUGCACUAAUUUAUCAAAAAAAUUAAUUAAUUAAUUAAUUACAAAUUAAAUAAAUAAAAAUGUAGUGUCUCUAUUUUUUAAUAAUUUCUAAAUUUGGGAAUAAGAUAGAGGAUGCAAUGCCUCUAUCGAUUCCCGCUUGAGUUAGGAGGCUUUAGGGCGUUUCUUAGACUAGGUUCGGAAGUUCUGUCUUCCUCAAAACUUAAAACCAAAUAAACCAUAAAUAAAUAAAUAAAACAUAUAAAAUAAAAAACAGGGUGUCCCAUUAAGAUUAAAUGUAUUAAAUUAAUAAUAAAAUUACAAUCAAAACUAUAAAUUUAUUCCGGUAUGUGUUAUAAAUAAAUGAAUAAUACGUUGGUGUUGUGUGUUUUUGGUGAAAAAAUCGAUACGGCGGGGUACCCAACCAAAAUUGAAAUUCCCAAACUUUCGAGUUCGAUAUCUCGGCUCCCACUGGCUCAUUCGAGAUAACUCCAACAAUUUUCUCUUAUUUUCGUCGUUUUGAAUCUAACGAGACCAUCGGCAAGGUCGUAGCUCUUCUAAUAGCUGAGAUAUGGCAUUUUUGAUGCCCAUUUUUGGCCUCAAAAACGGACGUCGAAAACGACUUUUUCAGGAUUUUCAAAGUGCUCUCAUUCCCUUAGUUCUGCUCGGAUCCUGUUAUAACCCGGUGUUUUCGUAAUCUAGAUGAUCAGAAUAAGUCGCUGGUAUACUUAGUUUGAUUUCGAAAAAAUCAAUUUUUGGUGAAAAAAAUCGAUACGGGGGGGUAUACCCGAAAAAUGAAAAAACCCAAACUUUGAAGGUCGAUAUCUCGGCUUCUGUAGCAGCUAUCGGGAAAAUUCCAACGGUUUUGUCUUAGUUUCGUCAUUUUGAUUCCAACGAGACCAUCCGCAAGGUCGUAGCUCUUCUAAUAGCUGAGAUAUGGCAUUUUUGAUGCCCAUUUUUGGCCUCAAAAACGGACGUCGAAAACGACUUUUUCAGGAUUUUCAAAGUGCUCUCAUUCCCUUAGUUCUGCUCGGAUCCUGUUAUAACCCGGUGUUUUCGUAAUCUAGAUGAUCAGAAUAAGUCGCUGGUAUACUUAGUUUGAUUUCGAAAAAAAUAAAUUUUUGGUGGAAAAUAUCGAUACGGGGGGGUAUACCCUAAAAAUGAAAAAACCCAAACUUUGAAGGUCGAUAUCUCGGCUUCUAUGGGAGCUAUCGGGAAAAUUCCAACGGUUUUGUCUUAGUUUCGUCAUUCUGAUUCCAACGAGACCAUCCGCAAGGUCGUAGCUUUUCUAAUAGCUGAGAUAUGGCAUUUUUGAUGCCCAUUUUUGGCCUCAAAAACGGACGUCGAAAACGACUUUUUCAGGAUUUUCAAAGUGCUCUCAUUCCCUUAGUUCUGCUCGGAUCCUGUUAUAACCCGGUGUUUUCGUAAUCUAGAUGAUCAGAAUAAGUCGCUGGUAUACUUAGUUUGAUUUCGAAAAAAACAAUUUUUGGCGAAAAAAAUCGAUACGGGGGGGUAUACCCGAUAAAUGAAAAAACCCAAACUUUGAAGGUCGAUAUCUCGGCUUCUAUGGGAGCUAUCGGGAAAAUUCCAACGGUUUUGUCUUAGUUUCGUCAUUCUGAUUCCAACGAGACCAUCCGCAAGGUCGUAGCUUUUCUAAUAGCUGAGAUAUGGCAUUUUUGAUGCCCAUUUUUGGCCUCAAAAACGGACGUCGAAAACGACUUUUUCAGGAUUUUCAAAGUGCUCUCAUUCCCUUAGUUCUGCUCGGAUCCUGUUAUAACCCGGUGUUUUCGUAAUCUAGAUGAUCAGAAUAAGUCGCUGGUAUACUUAGUUUGAUUUCGAAAAAAAUAAAUUUUUGGUGGAAAAUAUCGAUACGGGGGGGUAUACCCUAAAAAUGAAAAAACCCAAACUUUGAAGGUCGAUAUCUCGGCUUCUAUGGGAGCUAUCGGGAAAAUUCCAACGGUUUUGUCUUAGUUUCGUCAUUCUGAUUCCAACGAGACCAUCCGCAAGGUCGUAGCUCUUCUAAUAGCUGAGAUAUGGCAUUUUUGAUGCCCAUUUUUGGCCUCAAAAACGGACGUCGAAAACGACUUUUUCAGGAUUUUCAAAGUGCUCUCAUUCCCUUAGUUCUGCUCGGAUCCUGUUAUAACCCGGUUUUCGUAAUCUAGAUGAUCAGAAUAAGUCGCUGGUAUACUUAGUUUGAUUUCGAAAAAAUCAAUUUUUGGUGAAAAAAAUCGAUACGGGGGGGUAUACCCGAAAAAUGAAAAAACCCAAACUUUGAAGGUCGAUAUCUCGGCUUCUGUAGCAGCUAUCGGGAAAAUUCCAACGGUUUUGUCUUAGUUUCGUCAUUUUGAUUCCAACGAGACCAUCCGCAAGGUCGUAGCUCUUCUAAUAGCUGAGAUAUGGCAUUUUUGAUGCCCAUUUUUGGCCUCAAAAACGGACGUCGAAAACGACUUUUUCAGGAUUUUCAAAGUGCUCUCAUUCCCUUAGUUCUGCUCGGAUCCUGUUAUAACCCGGUUUUCGUAAUCUAGAUGAUCAGAAUAAGUCGCUGGUAUACUUAGUUUAAUUUCGAAAAAAUCAAUUUUUGGUGGAAAAUAUCGAUAUGGGGGGGUAUACCCGAAAAAUGAAAAAACCCAAACUUUGAAGGUCGAUAUCUCGGCUUCUGUAGCAGCUAUCGGGAAAAUUCCAACGGUUUUGUCUUAGUUUCGUCAUUUUGAUUCCAACGAGACCAUCCGCAAGGUCGUAGCUCUUCUAAUAGCUGAGAUAUGGCAUUUUUGAUGCCCAUUUUUGGCCUCAAAAACGGACGUCGAAAACGACUUUUUCAGGAUUUUCAAAGUGCUCUCAUUCCCUUAGUUCUGCUCGGAUCUUGUUAUAACCCGGUGUUUUCGUAAUCUAGAUGAUCAGAAUAAGUCGCUGGUAUACUUAGUUUGAUUUCGAAAAAAUCAAUUUUUGGUGAAAAAAAUCGAUACGGGGGGGUAUACCCGAAAAAUGAAAAAACCCAAACUUUGAAGGUCGAUAUCUCGGCUUCUGUAGCAGCUAUCGGGAAAAUUCCAACGGUUUUGUCUUAGUUUCGUCAUUUUGAUUCCAACGAGACCAUCCGCAAGGUCGUAGCUCUUCUAAUAGCUGAGAUAUGGCAUUUUUGAUGCCCAUUUUUGGCCUCAAAAACGGACGUCGAAAACGACUUUUUCAGGAUUUUCAAAGUGCUCUCAUUCCCUUAGUUCUGCUCGGAUCCUGUUAUAACCCGGUGUUUUCGUAAUCUAGAUGAUCAGAAUAAGUCGCUGGUAUACUUAGUUUGAUUUCGAAAAAAAUAAAUUUUUGGUGGAAAAUAUCGAUACGGGGGGGUAUACCCUAAAAAUGAAAAAACCCAAACUUUGAAGGUCGAUAUCUCGGCUUCUAUGGGAGCUAUCGGGAAAAUUCCAACGGUUUUGUCUUAGUUUCGUCAUUCUGAUUCCAACGAGACCAUCCGCAAGGUCGUAGCUCUUCUAAUAGCUGAGAUAUGGCAUUUUUGAUGCCCAUUUUUGGCCUCAAAAACGGACGUCGAAAACGACUUUUUCAGGAUUUUCAAAGUGCUCUCAUUCCCUUAGUUCUGCUCGGAUCCUGUUAUAACCCGGUGUUUUCGUAAUCUAGAUGAUCAGAAUAAGUCGCUGGUAUACUUAGUUUGAUUUCGAAAAAAUCAAUUUUUGGUGAAAAAAAUCGAUACGGGGGGGUAUACCCGAAAAAUGAAAAAACCCAAACUUUGAAGGUCGAUAUCUCGGCUUCUGUAGCAGCUAUCGGGAAAAUUCCAACGGUUUUGUCUUAGUUUCGUCAUUUUGAUUCCAACGAGACCAUCCGCAAGGUCGUAGCUCUUCUAAUAGCUGAGAUAUGGCAUUUUUGAUGCCCAUUUUUGGCCUCAAAAACGGACGUCGAAAACGACUUUUUCAGGAUUUUCAAAGUGCUCUCAUUCCCUUAGUUCUGCUCGGAUCCUGUUAUAACCCGGUGUUUUCGUAAUCUAGAUGAUCAGAAUAAGUCGCUGGUAUACUUAGUUUGAUUUCGAAAAAAAUAAAUUUUUGGUGGAAAAUAUCGAUACGGGGGGGUAUACCCUAAAAAUGAAAAAACCCAAACUUUGAAGGUCGAUAUCUCGGCUUCUAUGGGAGCUAUCGGGAAAAUUCCAACGGUUUUGUCUUAGUUUCGUCAUUCUGAUUCCAACGAGACCAUCCGCAAGGUCGUAGCUCUUCUAAUAGCUGAGAUAUGGCAUUUUUGAUGCCCAUUUUUGGCCUCAAAAACGGACGUCGAAAACGACUUUUUCAGGAUUUUCAAAGUGCUCUCAUUCCCUUAGUUCUGCUCGGAUCCUGUUAUAACCCGGUGUUUUCGUAAUCUAGAUGAUCAGAAUAAGUCGCUGGUAUACUUAGUUUGAUUUCGAAAAAAUCAAUUUUUGGUGAAAAAAAUCGAUACGGGGGGGUAUACCCGAAAAAUGAAAAAACCCAAACUUUGAAGGUCGAUAUCUCGGCUUCUGUAGCAGCUAUCGGGAAAAUUCCAACGGUUUUGUCUUAGUUUCGUCAUUUUGAUUCCAACGAGACCAUCCGCAAGGUCGUAGCUCUUCUAAUAGCUGAGAUAUGGCAUUUUUGAUGCCCAUUUUUGGCCUCAAAAACGGACGUCGAAAACGACUUUUUCAGGAUUUUCAAAGUGCUCUCAUUCCCUUAGUUCUGCUCGGAUCUUGUUAUAACCCGGUGUUUUCGUAAUCUAGAUGAUCAGAAUAAGUCGCUGGUAUACUUAGUUUGAUUUCGAAAAAAUCAAUUUUUGGCGAAAAAAAUCGAUACGGGGGGGUAUACCCGAAAAAUGAAAAAACCCAAACUUUGAAGGUCGAUAUCUCGGCUUCUAUGGGAGCUAUCGGGAAAAUUCCAACGGUUUUGUCUUAGUUUCGUCAUUCUGAUUCCAACGAGACCAUCCGCAAGGUCGUAGCUCUUCUAAUAGCUGAGAUAUGGCAUUUUUGAUGCCCAUUUUUGGCCUCAAAAACGGACGUCGAAAACGACUUUUUCAGGAUUUUCAAAGUGCUCUCAUUCCCUUAGUUCUGCUCGGAUCUUGUUAUAACCCGGUGUUUUCGUAAUCUAGAUGAUCAGAAUAAGUCGCUGGUAUACUUAGUUUGAUUUCGAAAAAAUCAAUUUUUGGUGGAAAAUAUCGAUACGGGGGGGUAUACCCGAAAAAUGAAAAAACCCAAACUUUGAAGGUCGAUAUCUCGGCUUCUAUGGGAGCUAUCGGGAAAAUUCCAACGGUUUUGUCUUAGUUUCGUCAUUUUGAUUCCAACGAGACCAUCCGCAAGGUCGUAGCUCUUCUAAUAGCUGAGAUAUGGCAUUUUUGAUGCCCAUUUUUGGCCUCAAAAACGGACGUCGAAAACGACUUUUUCAGGAUUUUCAAAGUGCUCUCAUUCCCUUAGUUCUGCUCGGAUCCUGUUAUAACCCGGUGUUUUCGUAAUUUAGAUGAUCAGAAUAAGUCGCUGGUAUACUUAGUUUGAUUUCGAAAAAAUCAAUUUUUGGUGGAAAAUAUCGAUACGGGGGGGUAUACCCGAAAAAUGAAAAAACCCAAACUUUGAAGGUCGAUAUCUCGGCUUCUAUGGGAGCUAUCGGGAAAAUUCCAACGGUUUUGUCUUAGUUUCGUCAUUCUGAUUCCAACGAGACCAUCCGCAAGGUCGUAGCUCUUCUAAUAGCUGAGAUAUGGCAUUUUUGAUGCCCAUUUUUGGCCUCAAAAACGGACGUCGAAAACGACUUUUUCAGGAUUUUCAAAGUGCUCUCAUUCCCUUAGUUCUGCUCGGAUCUUGUUAUAACCCGGUGUUUUCGUAAUCUAGAUGAUCAGAAUAAGUCGCUGGUAUACUUAGUUUGAUUUCGAAAAAAUUAAUUUUUGGUGGAAAAUAUCGAUACGGGGGGGUAUACCCUAAAAAUGAAAAAACCCAAACUUUGAAGGUCGAUAUCUCGGCUUCUAUGGGAGCUAUCGGGAAAAUUCCAACGGUUUUGUCUUAGUUUCGUCAUUCUGAUUCCAACGAGACCAUCCGCAAGGUCGUAGCUCUUCUAAUAGCUGAGAUAUGCCUAUUUUGGCCUCAAAAACGGACGUCGAAAACGACUUUUUCAGGAUUUUCAAAGUGCUCUCAUUCCCUUAGUUCUGCUCGGAUCCUGUUAUAACCCGGUGUUUUCGUAAUCUAGAUGAUCAGAAUAAGUCGCUGGUAUACUUAGUUUGAUUUCGAAAAAAUCAAUUUUUGGUGAAAAAAAUCGAUACGGGGGGGUAUACCCGAAAAAUGAAAAAACCCAAACUUUGAAGGUCGAUAUCUCGGCUUCUGUAGCAGCUAUCGGGAAAAUUCCAACGGUUUUGUCUUAGUUUCGUCAUUUUGAUUCCAACGAGACCAUCUGCAAGGUCGUAGCUCUUCUAAUAGCUGAGAUAUGGCAUUUUUGAUGCCCAUUUUUGGCCUCAAAAACGGACGUCGAAAACGACUUUUUCAGGAUUUUCAAAGUGCUCUCAUUCCCUUAGUUCUGCUCGGAUCUUGUUAUAACCCGGUGUUUUCGUAAUCUAGAUGAUCAGAAUAAGUCGCUGGUAUACUUAGUUUGAUUUCGAAAAAAUUAAUUUUUGGUGGAAAAUAUCGAUACGGGGGGGUAUACCCUAAAAAUGAAAAAACCCAAACUUUGAAGGUCGAUAUCUCGGCUUCUAUGGGAGCUAUCGGGAAAAUUCCAACGGUUUUGUCUUAGUUUCGUCAUUUUGAUUCCAACGAGACCAUCCGCAAGGUCGUAGCUUUUCUAAUAGCUGAGAUAUGGCAUUUUUGAUGCCCAUUUUUGGCCUCAAAAACGGACGUCGAAAACGACUUUUUCAGGAUUUUCAAAGUGCUCUCAUUCCCUUAGUUCUGCUCGGAUCCUGUUAUAACCCGGUGUUUUCGUAAUCUAGAUGAUCAGAAUAAGUCGCUGGUAUACUUAGUUUGAUUUCGAAAAAAUCAAUUUUUGGUGAAAAAAAUCGAUACGGGGGGGUAUACCCGAAAAAUGAAAAAACCCAAACUUUGAAGGUCGAUAUCUCGGCUUCUGUAGCAGCUAUCGGGAAAAUUCCAACGGUUUUGUCUUAGUUUCGUCAUUUUGAUUCCAACGAGACCAUCCGCAAGGUCGUAGCUUUUCUAAUAGCUGAGAUAUGGCAUUUUUGAUGCCCAUUUUUGGCCUCAAAAACGGACGUCGAAAACGACUUUUUCAGGAUUUUCAAAGUGCUCUCAUUCCCUUAGUUCUGCUCGGAUCCUGUUAUAACCCGGUGUUUUCGUAAUCUAGAUGAUCAGAAUAAGUCGCUGGUAUACUUAGUUUGAUUUCGAAAAAAUCAAUUUUUGGUGAAAAAAAUCGAUACGGGGGGGUAUACCCGAAAAAUGAAAAAACCCAAACUUUGAAGGUCGAUAUCUCGGCUUCUAUGGCAGCUAUCGGGAAAAUUCCAACGGUUUUGUCUUAGUUUCGUCAUUUUGAUUCCAACGAGACCAUCCGCAAGGUCGUAGCUCUUCUAAUAGCUGAGAUAUGGCAUUUUUGAUGCCCAUUUUUGGCCUCAAAAACGGACGUCGAAAACGACUUUUUCAGGAUUUUCAAAGUGCUCUCAUUCCCUUAGUUCUGCUCGGAUCUUGUUAUAACCCGGUGUUUUCGUAAUCUAGAUGAUCAGAAUAAGUCGCUGGUAUACUUAGUUUGAUUUCGAAAAAAUCAAUUUUUGGCGAAAAAAAUCGAUACGGGGGGGUAUACCCGAAAAAUGAAAAAACCCAAACUUUGAAGGUCGAUAUCUCGGCUUCUAUGGGAGCUAUCGGGAAAAUUCCAACGGUUUUGUCUUAGUUUCGUCAUUCUGAUUCCAACGAGACCAUCCGCAAGGUCGUAGCUCUUCUAAUAGCUGAGAUAUGGCAUUUUUGAUGCCCAUUUUUGGCCUCAAAAACGGACGUCGAAAACGACUUUUUCAGGAUUUUCAAAGUGCUCUCAUUCCCUUAGUUCUGCUCGGAUCUUGUUAUAACCCGGUGUUUUCGUAAUCUAGAUGAUCAGAAUAAGUCGCUGGUAUACUUAGUUUGAUUUCGAAAAAAUCAAUUUUUGGUGGAAAAUAUCGAUACGGGGGGGUAUACCCGAAAAAUGAAAAAACCCAAACUUUGAAGGUCGAUAUCUCGGCUUCUAUGGGAGCUAUCGGGAAAAUUCCAACGGUUUUGUCUUAGUUUCGUCAUUUUGAUUCCAACGAGACCAUCCGCAAGGUCGUAGCUCUUCUAAUAGCUGAGAUAUGGCAUUUUUGAUGCCCAUUUUUGGCCUCAAAAACGGACGUCGAAAACGACUUUUUCAGGAUUUUCAAAGUGCUCUCAUUCCCUUAGUUCUGCUCGGAUCUUGUUAUAACCCGGUGUUUUCGUAAUCUAGAUGAUCAGAAUAAGUCGCUGGUAUACUUAGUUUGAUUUCGAAAAAAUUAAUUUUUGGUGGAAAAUAUCGAUACGGGGGGGUAUACCCUAAAAAUGAAAAAACCCAAACUUUGAAGGUCGAUAUCUCGGCUUCUAUGGGAGCUAUCGGGAAAAUUCCAACGGUUUUGUCUUAGUUUCGUCAUUCUGAUUCCAACGAGACCAUCCGCAAGGUCGUAGCUCUUCUAAUAGCUGAGAUAUGGCAUUUUUGAUGCCCAUUUUUGGCCUCAAAAACGGACGUCGAAAACGACUUUUUCAGGAUUUUCAAAGUGCUCUCAUUCCCUUAGUUCUGCUCGGAUCCUGUUAUAACCCGGUGUUUUCGUAAUCUAGAUGAUCAGAAUAAGUCGCUGGUAUACUUAGUUUGAUUUCGAAAAAAUCAAUUUUUGGUGGAAAAUAUCGAUACGGGGGGGUAUACCCGAAAAAUGAAAAAACCCAAACUUUGAAGGUCGAUAUCUCGGCUUCUGUAGCAGCUAUCGGGAAAAUUCCAACGGUUUUGUCUUAGUUUCGUCAUUUUUAUUCCAACGAGACCAUCCGCAAGGUCGUAGCUCUUCUAAUAGCUGAUAUAUGGCAUUUUUGAUGCCCAUUUUUGGCCUCAAAAACGGACGUCGAAAACGACUUUUUCAGGAUUUUCAAAGUGCUCUCAUUCCCUUAGUUCUGCUCGGAUCCUGUUAUAACCCGGUGUUUUCGUAAUCUAGAUGAUCAGAAUAAGUCGCUGGUAUACUUAGUUUGAUUUCGAAAAAAUCAAUUUUUGGUGGAAAAUAUCGAUACGGGGGGGUAUACCCGAAAAAUGAAAAAACCCAAACUUUGAAGGUCGAUAUCUCGGCUUCUAUGGGAGCUAUCGGGAAAAUUCCAACGGUUUUGUCUUAGUUUCGUCAUUCUGAUUCCAACGAGACCAUCCGCAAGGUCGUAGCUCUUCUAAUAGCUGAGAUAUGGCAUUUUUGAUGCCCAUUUUUGGCCUCAAAAACGGACGUCGAAAACGACUUUUUCAGGAUUUUCAAAGUGCUCUCAUUCCCUUAGUUCUGCUCGGAUCUUGUUAUAACCCGGUGUUUUCGUAAUCUAGAUGAUCAGAAUAAGUCGCUGGUAUACUUAGUUUGAUUUCGAAAAAAUUAAUUUUUGGUGGAAAAUAUCGAUACGGGGGGGUAUACCCUAAAAAUGAAAAAACCCAAACUUUGAAGGUCGAUAUCUCGGCUUCUAUGGGAGCUAUCGGGAAAAUUCCAACGGUUUUGUCUUAGUUUCGUCAUUCUGAUUCCAACGAGACCAUCCGCAAGGUCGUAGCUCUUCUAAUAGCUGAGAUAUGCCUAUUUUGGCCUCAAAAACGGACGUCGAAAACGACUUUUUCAGGAUUUUCAAAGUGCUCUCAUUCCCUUAGUUCUGCUCGGAUCCUGUUAUAACCCGGUGUUUUCGUAAUCUAGAUGAUCAGAAUAAGUCGCUGGUAUACUUAGUUUGAUUUCGAAAAAAUCAAUUUUUGGUGGAAAAUAUCGAUACGGGGGGGGUAUACCCUAAAAAUGAAAAAACCCAAACUUUGAAGGUCGAUAUCUCGGCUUCUAUGGCAGCUAUCGGGAAAAUUCCAACGGUUUUGUCUUAACUUCGUCAUUCUGAUUCCAACGAGACCAUCCGCAAGGUCGUAGCUCUUCUAAUAGCUGAGAUAUGGCAUUUUUGAUGCCCAUUUUUGGCCUCAAAAACGGACGUCAAAAAAGGCCUUUUUCAGGAUUUUCAAAGUGCUCUCAUUCCCUUAGUUCUGCUCGGAUCCUGUUAUAACCCGGUGUUUUCGUAAUCUAGAUGAUCAGAAUAAGUCGCUGGUAUACUUAGUUUGAUUUCGAAAAAAUCAAUUUUUGGUGAAAAAAAUCGAUACAUGGGGGUAUACCCGAAAAAUGAAAAAACCCAAACUUUGAAGGUCGAUAUCUCGGCUUCUGUAGCAGCUAUCGGGAAAAUUCCAACGGUUUUGUCUUAGUUUCGUCAUUUUGAUUCCAACGAGACCAUCCGCAAGGUCGUAGCUCUUCUAAUAGCUGAGAUAUGGCAUUUUUGAUGCCCAUUUUUGGCCUCAAAAACGGACGUCAAAAAAGGCCUUUUUCAGGAUUUUCAAAGUGCUCUCAUUCCCUUAGUUCUGCUCGGAUCCUGUUAUAACCCGGUGUUUUCGUAAUCUAGAUGAUCAGAAUAAGUCGCUGGUAUACUUAGUUUGAUUUCGAAAAAAUCAAUUUUUGGUGAAAAAAAUCGAUACAUGGGGGUAUACCCGAAAAAUGAAAAAACCCAAACUUUGAAGGUCGAUAUCUCGGCUUCUGUAGCAGCUAUCGGGAAAAUUCCCACGGUUUUGUCUUAGUUUCGUCAUUUUGAUUCCAACGAGACCAUCCGCAAGGUCGUAGCUCUUCUAAUAGCUGAGAUAUGGCAUUUUUGAUGCCCAUUUUUGGCCUCAAAAACGGACGUCGAAAACGACUUUUUCAGGAUUUUCAAAGUGCUCUCAUUCCCUUAGUUCUGCUCGGAUCCUGUUAUAACCCGGUGUUUUCGUAAUCUAGAUGAUCAGAAUAAGUCGCUGGUAUACUUAGUUUGAUUUCGAAAAAAUCAAUUUUUGGUGAAAAAAAUCGAUACAUGGGGGUAUACCCGAAAAAUGAAAAAACCCAAACUUUGAAGGUCGAUAUCUCGGCUUCUGUAGCAGCUAUCGGGAAAAUUCCAACGGUUUUGUCUUAGUUUCGUCAUUUUGAUUCCAACGAGACCAUCCGCAAGGUCGUAGCUCUUCUAAUAGCUGAGAUAUGGCAUUUUUGAUGCCCAUUUUUGGCCUCAAAAACGGACGUCAAAAAAGGCCUUUUUCAGGAUUUUCAAAGUGCUCUCAUUCCCUUAGUUCUGCUCGGAUCCUGUUAUAACCCGGUGUUUUCGUAAUCUAGAUGAUCAGAAUAAGUCGCUGGUAUACUUAGUUUGAUUUCGAAAAAAUCAAUUUUUGGUGAAAAAAAUCGAUACAUGGGGGUAUACCCGAAAAAUGAAAAAACCCAAACUUUGAAGGUCGAUAUCUCGGCUUCUGUAGCAGCUAUCGGGAAAAUUCCCACGGUUUUGUCUUAGUUUCGUCAUUUUGAUUCCAACGAGACCAUCCGCAAGGUCGUAGCUCUUCUAAUAGCUGAGAUAUGGCAUUUUUGAUGCCCAUUUUUGGCCUCAAAAACGGACGUCGAAAACGACUUUUUCAGGAUUUUCAAAGUGCUCUCAUUCCCUUAGUUCUGCUCGGAUCUUGUUAUAACCCGGUGUUUUCGUAAUCUAGAUGAUCAGAAUAAGUCGCUGGUAUACUUAGUUUGAUUUCGAAAAAAUCAAUUUUUGGUGGAAAAUAUCGAUACGGGGGGGUAUACCCUAAAAAUGAAAAAACCCAAACUUUGAAGGUCGAUAUCUCGGCUUCUAUGGGAGCUAUCGGGAAAAUUCCAACGGUUUUGUCUUAGUUUCGUCAUUUUGAUUCCAACGAGACCAUCCGCAAGGUCGUAGCUUUUCUAAUAGCUGAGAUAUGGCAUUUUUGAUGCCCAUUUUUGGCCUCAAAAACGGACGUCGAAAACGACUUUUUCAGGAUUUUCAAAGUGCUCUCAUUCCCUUAGUUCUGCUCGGAUCCUGUUAUAACCCGGUGUUUUCGUAAUCUAGAUGAUCAGAAUAAGUCGCUGGUAUACUUAGUUUGAUUUCGAAAAAAUCAAUUUUUGGUGAAAAAAAUCGAUACAUGGGGGUAUACCCGAAAAAUGAAAAAACCCAAACUUUGAAGGUCGAUAUCUCGGCUUCUAUGGCAGCUAUCGGGAAAAUUCCAACGGUUUUGUCUUAGUUUCGUCAUUCUGAUUCCAACGAGACCAUCCGCAAGGUCGUAGCUCUUCUAAUAGCUGAGAUAUGGCAUUUUUGAUGCCCAUUUUUGGCCUCAAAAACGGACGUCAAAAAAGGCCUUUUUCAGGAUUUUCAAAGUGCUCUCAUUCCCUUAGUUCUGCUCGGAUCCUGUUAUAACCCGGUGUUUUCGUAAUCUAGAUGAUCAGAAUAAGUCGCUGGUAUACUUAGUUUGAUUUCGAAAAAAUCAAUUUUUGGUGAAAAAAAUCGAUACAUGGGGGUAUACCCGAAAAAUGAAAAAACCCAAACUUUGAAGGUCGAUAUCUCGGCUUCUGUAGCAGCUAUCGGGAAAAUUCCAACGGUUUUGUCUUAGUUUCGUCAUUUUGAUUCCAACGAGACCAUCCGCAAGGUCGUAGCUUUUCUAAUAGCUGAGAUAUGGCAUUUUUGAUGCCCAUUUUUGGCCUCAAAAACGGACGUCGAAAACGACUUUUUCAGGAUUUUCAAAGUGCUCUCAUUCCCUUAGUUCUGCUCGGAUCCUGUUAUAACCCGGUGUUUUCGUAAUCUAGAUGAUCAGAAUAAGUCGCUGGUAUACUUAGUUUGAUUUCGAAAAAAUCAAUUUUUGGUGGAAAAUAUCGAUACGGGGGGGUAUACCCUAAAAAUGAAAAAACCCAAACUUUGAAGGUCGAUAUCUCGGCUUCUAUGGGAGCUAUCGGGAAAAUUCCAACGGUUUUGUCUUAGUUUCGUCAUUUUGAUUCCAACGAGACCAUCCGCAAGGUCGUAGCUCUUCUAAUAGCUGAGAUAUGGCAUUUUUGAUGCCCAUUUUUGGCCUCAAAAACGGACGUCGAAAACGACUUUUUCAGGAUUUUCAAAGUGCUCUCAUUCCCUUAGUUCUGCUCGGAUCCUGUUAUAACCCGGUGUUUUCGUAAUCUAGAUGAUCAGAAUAAGUCGCUGGUAUACUUAGUUUGAUUUCGAAAAAAUCAAUUUUUGGUGAAAAAAAUCGAUACGGGGGGGUAUACCCUAAAAAUGAAAAAACCCAAACUUUGAAGGUCGAUAUCUCGGCUUCUAUGGGAGCUAUCGGGAAAAUUCCAACGGUUUUCUCUUAGUUUCGUCAUUCUGAUUCCAACGAGACCAUCCGCAAGGUCGUAGCUCUUCUAAUAGCUGAGAUAUGGCAUUUUUGAUGCCCAUUUUUGGCCUCAAAAACGGACGUCGAAAACGACUUUUUCAGGAUUUUCAAAGUGCUCUCAUUCCCUUAGUUCUGCUCGGAUCCUGUUAUAACCCGGUGUUUUUGUAAUCUAGAUGAUCAGAAUAAGUCGCUGGUAUACUUAGUUUGAUUUCGAAAAAAUCAAUUUUUGGUGAAAAAAAUCGAUACGGGGGGGUAUACCCGAAAAAUGAAAAAACCCAAACUUUGAAGGUCGAUAUCUCGGCUUCUAUGGCAGCUCUCGGGAAAAUUCCAACGGUUUUGUCUUAGUUUCGUCAUUCUGAUUCCAACGAGACCAUCCGCAAGGUCGUAGCUCUUCUAAUAGCUGAGAUAUGGCAUUUUUGAUGCCCAUUUUUGGCCUCAAAAACGGACGUCGAAAACGACUUUUUCAGGAUUUUCAAAGUGCUCUCAUUCCCUUAGUUCUGCUCGGAUCCUGUUAUAACCCGGUGUUUUCGUAAUCUAGAUGAUCAGAAUAAGUCGCUGGUAUACUUAGUUUGAUUUCGAAAAAAUCAAUUUUUGGUGGAAAAUAUCGAUACGGGGGGGUAUACCCUAAAAAUGAAAAAACCCAAACUUUGAAGGUCGAUAUCUCGGCUUCUAUGGGAGCUAUCGGGAAAAUUCCAACGGUUUUGUCUUAGUUUCGUCAUUUUGAUUCCAACGAGACCAUCCGCAAGGUCGUAGCUCUUCUAAUAGCUGAGAUAUGGCAUUUUUGAUGCCCAUUUUUGGCCUCAAAAACGGACGUCGAAAACGACUUUUUCAGGAUUUUCAAAGUGCUCUCAUUCCCUUAGUUCUGCUCGGAUCCUGUUAUAACCCGGUGUUUUCGUAAUCUAGAUGAUCAGAAUAAGUCGCUGGUAUACUUAGUUUGAUUUCGAAAAAAUCAAUUUUUGGUGGAAAAUAUCGAUACGGGGGGGUAUACCCGAAAAAUGAAAAAACCCAAACUUUGAAGGUCGAUAUCUCGGCUUCUGUAGCAGCUAUCGGGAAAAUUCCAACGGUUUUGUCUUAGUUUCGUCAUUUUGAUUCCAACGAGACCAUCCGCAAGGUCGUAGCUCUUCUAAUAGCUGAGAUAUGGCAUUUUUGAUGCCCAUUUUUGGCCUCAAAAACGGACGUCGAAAACGACUUUUUCAGGAUUUUCAAAGUGCUCUCAUUCCCUUAGUUCUGCUCGGAUCCUGUUAUAACCCGGUGUUUUCGUAAUCUAGAUGAUCAGAAUAAGUCGCUGGUAUACUUAGUUUGAUUUCGAAAAAAUCAAUUUUUGGUGAAAAAAAUCGAUACGGGGGGGUAUACCCUAAAAAUGAAAAAACCCAAACUUUGAAGGUCGAUAUCUCGGCUUCUAUGGGAGCUAUCGGGAAAAUUCCAACGGUUUUCUCUUAGUUUCGUCAUUCUGAUUCCAACGAGACCAUCCGCAAGGUCGUAGCUCUUCUAAUAGCUGAGAUAUGGCAUUUUUGAUGCCCAUUUUUGGCCUCAAAAACGGACGUCGAAAACGACUUUUUCAGGAUUUUCAAAGUGCUCUCAUUCCCUUAGUUCUGCUCGGAUCCUGUUAUAACCCGGUGUUUUCGUAAUCUAGAUGAUCAGAAUAAGUCGCUGGUAUACUUAGUUUGAUUUCGAAAAAAUCAAUUUUUGGUGAAAAAAAUCGAUACGGGGGGGUAUACCCGAAAAAUGAAAAAACCCAAACUUUGAAGGUCGAUAUCUCGGCUUCUGUAGCAGCUAUCGGGAAAAUUCCAACGGUUUUGUCUUAGUUUCGUCAUUUUGAUUCCAACGAGACCAUCCGCAAGGUCGUAGCUCUUCUAAUAGCUGAGAUAUGGCAUUUUUGAUGCCCAUUUUUGGCCUCAAAAACGGACGUCGAAAACGACUUUUUCAGGAUUUUCAAAGUGCUCUCAUUCCCUUAGUUCUGCUCGGAUCCUGUUAUAACCCGGUGUUUUCGUAAUCUAGAUGAUCAGAAUAAGUCGCUGGUAUACUUAGUUUGAUUUCGAAAAAAUCAAUUUUUGGUGGAAAAUAUCGAUACGGGGGGGUAUACCCGAAAAAUGAAAAAACCCAAACUUUGAAGGUCGAUAUCUCGGCUUCUGUAGCAGCUAUCGGGAAAAUUCCAACGGUUUUGUCUUAGUUUCGUCAUUUUGAUUCCAACGAGACCAUCCGCAAGGUCGUAGCUCUUCUAAUAGCUGAGAUAUGGCAUUUUUGAUGCCCAUUUUUGGCCUCAAAAACGGACGUCGAAAACGACUUUUUCAGGAUUUUCAAAGUGCUCUCAUUCCCUUAGUUCUGCUCGGAUCCUGUUAUAACCCGGUGUUUUCGUAAUCUAGAUGAUCAGAAUAAGUCGCUGGUAUACUUAGUUUGAUUUCGAAAAAAUCAAUUUUUGGUGGAAAAUAUCGAUACGGGGGGGUAUACCCGAAAAAUGAAAAAACCCAAACUUUGAAGGUCGAUAUCUCGGCUUCUGUAGCAGCUAUCGGGAAAAUUCCAACGGUUUUGUCUUAGUUUCGUCAUUUUGAUUCCAACGAGACCAUCCGCAAGGUCGUAGCUCUUCUAAUAGCUGAGAUAUGGCAUUUUUGAUGCCCAUUUUUGGCCUCAAAAACGGACGUCGAAAACGACUUUUUCAGGAUUUUCAAAGUGCUCUCAUUCCCUUAGUUCUGCUCGGAUCCUGUUAUAACCCGGUGUUUUCGUAAUCUAGAUGAUCAGAAUAAGUCGCUGGUAUACUUAGUUUGAUUUCGAAAAAAUCAAUUUUUGGUGAAAAAAAUCGAUACGGGGGGGUAUACCCGAAAAAUGAAAAAACCCAAACUUUGAAGGUCGAUAUCUCGGCUUCUGUAGCAGCUAUCGGGAAAAUUCCAACGGUUUUGUCUUAGUUUCGUCAUUUUGAUUCCAACGAGACCAUCCGCAAGGUCGUAGCUCUUCUAAUAGCUGAGAUAUGGCAUUUUUGAUGCCCAUUUUUGGCCUCAAAAACGGACGUCGAAAACGACUUUUUCAGGAUUUUCAAAGUGCUCUCAUUCCCUUAGUUCUGCUCGGAUCCUGUUAUAACCCGGUGUUUUCGUAAUCUAGAUGAUCAGAAUAAGUCGCUGGUAUACUUAGUUUGAUUUCGAAAAAAUCAAUUUUUGGUGGAAAAUAUCGAUACGGGGGGGUAUACCCGAAAAAUGAAAAAACCCAAACUUUGAAGGUCGAUAUCUCGGCUUCUGUAGCAGCUAUCGGGAAAAUUCCAACGGUUUUGUCUUAGUUUCGUCAUUUUGAUUCCAACGAGACCAUCCGCAAGGUCGUAGCUCUUCUAAUAGCUGAGAUAUGGCAUUUUUGAUGCCCAUUUUUGGCCUCAAAAACGGACGUCGAAAACGACUUUUUCAGGAUUUUCAAAGUGCUCUCAUUCCCUUAGUUCUGCUCGGAUCCUGUUAUAACCCGGUGUUUUCGUAAUCUAGAUGAUCAGAAUAAGUCGCUGGUAUACUUAGUUUGAUUUCGAAAAAAUCAAUUUUUGGUGGAAAAUAUCGAUACGGGGGGGUAUACCCGAAAAAUGAAAAAACCCAAACUUUGAAGGUCGAUAUCUCGGCUUCUGUAGCAGCUAUCGGGAAAAUUCCAACGGUUUUGUCUUAGUUUCGUCAUUUUGAUUCCAACGAGACCAUCCGCAAGGUCGUAGCUCUUCUAAUAGCUGAGAUAUGGCAUUUUUGAUGCCCAUUUUUGGCCUCAAAAACGGACGUCGAAAACGACUUUUUCAGGAUUUUCAAAGUGCUCUCAUUCCCUUAGUUCUGCUCGGAUCCUGUUAUAACCCGGUGUUUUCGUAAUCUAGAUGAUCAGAAUAAGUCGCUGGUAUACUUAGUUUGAUUUCGAAAAAAUCAAUUUUUGGUGAAAAAAAUCGAUACGGGGGGGUAUACCCGAAAAAUGAAAAAACCCAAACUUUGAAGGUCGAUAUCUCGGCUUCUGUAGCAGCUAUCGGGAAAAUUCCAACGGUUUUGUCUUAGUUUCGUCAUUUUGAUUCCAACGAGACCAUCCGCAAGGUCGUAGCUCUUCUAAUAGCUGAGAUAUGGCAUUUUUGAUGCCCAUUUUUGGCCUCAAAAACGGACGUCGAAAACGACUUUUUCAGGAUUUUCAAAGUGCUCUCAUUCCCUUAGUUCUGCUCGGAUCCUGUUAUAACCCGGUGUUUUCGUAAUCUAGAUGAUCAGAAUAAGUCGCUGGUAUACUUAGUUUGAUUUCGAAAAAAUCAAUUUUUGGUGGAAAAUAUCGAUACGGGGGGGUAUACCCUAAAAAUGAAAAAACCCAAACUUUGAAGGUCGAUAUCUCGGCUUCUAUGGGAGCUAUCGGGAAAAUUCCAACGGUUUUGUCUUAGUUUCGUCAUUUUGAUUCCAACGAGACCAUCCGCAAGGUCGUAGCUCUUCUAAUAGCUGAGAUAUGGCAUUUUUGAUGCCCAUUUUUGGCCUCAAAAACGGACGUCGAAAACGACUUUUUCAGGAUUUUCAAAGUGCUCUCAUUCCCUUAGUUCUGCUCGGAUCCUGUUAUAACCCGGUGUUUUCGUAAUCUAGAUGAUCAGAAUAAGUCGCUGGUAUACUUAGUUUGAUUUCGAAAAAAUCAAUUUUUGGCGAAAAAAAUCGAUACGGGGGGGUAUACCCGAAAAAUGAAAAAACCCAAACUUUGAAGGUCGAUAUCUCGGCUUCUAUGGCAGCUAUCGGGAAAAUUCCAACGGUUUUGUCUUAACUUCGUCAUUCUGAUUCCAACGAGACCAUCCGCAAGGUCGUAGCUCUUCUAAUAGCUGAGAUAUGGCAUUUUUGAUGCCCAUUUUUGGCCUCAAAAACGGACGUCAAAAAAGGCCUUUUUCAGGAUUUUCAAAGUGCUCUCAUUCCCUUAGUUCUGCUCGGAUCCUGUUAUAACCCGGUGUUUUCGUAAUCUAGAUGAUCAGAAUAAGUCGCUGGUAUACUUAGUUUGAUUUCGAAAAAAUCAAUUUUUGGUGAAAAAAAUCGAUACGGGGGGGUAUACCCGAAAAAUGAAAAAACCCAAACUUUGAAGGUCGAUAUCUCGGCUUCUGUAGCAGCUAUCGGGAAAAUUCCAACGGUUUUGUCUUAGUUUCGUCAUUUUGAUUCCAACGAGACCAUCCGCAAGGUCGUAGCUCUUCUAAUAGCUGAGAUAUGGCAUUUUUGAUGCCCAUUUUUGGCCUCAAAAACGGACGUCGAAAACGACUUUUUCAGGAUUUUCAAAGUGCUCUCAUUCCCUUAGUUCUGCUCGGAUCCUGUUAUAACCCGGUGUUUUCGUAAUCUAGAUGAUCAGAAUAAGUCGCUGGUAUACUUAGUUUGAUUUCGAAAAAAUCAAUUUUUGGCGAAAAAAAUCGAUACGGGGGGGUAUACCCGAAAAAUGAAAAAACCCAAACUUUGAAGGUCGAUAUCUCGGCUUCUAUGGCAGCUAUCGGGAAAAUUCCAACGGUUUUGUCUUAACUUCGUCAUUCUGAUUCCAACGAGACCAUCCGCAAGGUCGUAGCUCUUCUAAUAGCUGAGAUAUGGCAUUUUUGAUGCCCAUUUUUGGCCUCAAAAACGGACGUCAAAAAAGGCCUUUUUCAGGAUUUUCAAAGUGCUCUCAUUCCCUUAGUUCUGCUCGGAUCCUGUUAUAACCCGGUGUUUUCGUAAUCUAGAUGAUCAGAAUAAGUCGCUGGUAUACUUAGUUUGAUUUCGAAAAAAUCAAUUUUUGGUGAAAAAAAUCGAUACGGGGGGGUAUACCCGAAAAAUGAAAAAACCCAAACUUUGAAGGUCGAUAUCUCGGCUUCUGUAGGAGCUAUCGGGAAAAUUCCAACGGUUUUGUCUUAGUUUCGUCAUUCUGAUUCCAACGAGACCAUCCGCAAGGUCGUAGCUCUUCUAAUAGCUGAGAUAUGGCAUUUUUGAUGCCCAUUUUUGGCCUCAAAAACGGACGUCAAAAAAGGCCUUUUUCAGGAUUUUCAAAGUGCUCUCAUUCCCUUAGUUCUGCUCGGAUCCUGUUAUAACCCGGUGUUUUCGUAAUCUAGAUGAUCAGAAUAAGUCGCUGGUAUACUUAGUUUGAUUUCGAAAAAAUCAAUUUUUGGUGAAAAAAAUCGAUACGGGGGGGUAUACCCGAAAAAUGAAAAAACCCAAACUUUGAAGGUCGAUAUCUCGGCUUCUGUAGCAGCUAUCGGGAAAAUUCCCACGGUUUUGUCUUAGUUUCGUCAUUUUGAUUCCAACGAGACCAUCCGCAAGGUCGUAGCUCUUCUAAUAGCUGAGAUAUGGCAUUUUUGAUGCCCAUUUUUGGCCUCAAAAACGGACGUCGAAAACGACUUUUUCAGGAUUUUCAAAGUGCUCUCAUUCCCUUAGUUCUGCUCGGAUCUUGUUAUAACCCGGUGUUUUCGUAAUCUAGAUGAUCAGAAUAAGUCGCUGGUAUACUUAGUUUGAUUUCGAAAAAAUCAAUUUUUGGUGGAAAAUAUCGAUACGGGGGGGUAUACCCUAAAAAUGAAAAAACCCAAACUUUGAAGGUCGAUAUCUCGGCUUCUAUGGGAGCUAUCGGGAAAAUUCCAACGGUUUUGUCUUAGUUUCGUCAUUUUGAUUCCAACGAGACCAUCCGCAAGGUCGUAGCUUUUCUAAUAGCUGAGAUAUGGCAUUUUUGAUGCCCAUUUUUGGCCUCAAAAACGGACGUCGAAAACGACUUUUUCAGGAUUUUCAAAGUGCUCUCAUUCCCUUAGUUCUGCUCGGAUCCUGUUAUAACCCGGUGUUUUCGUAAUCUAGAUGAUCGGAAUAAGUCGCUGGUAUACUUAGUUUGAUUUCGAAAAAAUCAAUUUUUGGUGGAAAAUAUCGAUACGGGGGGGUAUACCCGAAAAAUGAAAAAACCCAAACUUUGAAGGUCGAUAUCUCGGCUUCUGUAGCAGCUAUCGGGAAAAUUCCAACGGUUUUGUCUUAGUUUCGUCAUUUUGAUUCCAACGAGACCAUCCGCAAGGUCGUAGCUCUUCUAAUAGCUGAGAUAUGGCAUUUUUGAUGCCCAUUUUUGGCCUCAAAAACGGACGUCGAAAACGACUUUUUCAGGAUUUUCAAAGUGCUCUCAUUCCCUUAGUUCUGCUCGGAUCCUGUUAUAACCCGGUGUUUUCGUAAUCUAGAUGAUCAGAAUAAGUCGCUGGUAUACUUAGUUUGAUUUCGAAAAAAUCAAUUUUUGGUGAAAAAAAUCGAUACGGGGGGGUAUACCCGAAAAAUGAAAAAACCCAAACUUUGAAGGUCGAUAUCUCGGCUUCUGUAGCAGCUAUCGGGAAAAUUCCAACGGUUUUGUCUUAGUUUCGUCAUUUUGAUUCCAACGAGACCAUCCGCAAGGUCGUAGCUCUUCUAAUAGCUGAGAUAUGGCAUUUUUGAUGCCCAUUUUUGGCCUCAAAAACGGACGUCGAAAACGACUUUUUCAGGAUUUUCAAAGUGCUCUCAUUCCCUUAGUUCUGCUCGGAUCCUGUUAUAACCCGGUGUUUUCGUAAUCUAGAUGAUCAGAAUAAGUCGCUGGUAUACUUAGUUUGAUUUCGAAAAAAUCAAUUUUUGGUGAAAAAAAUCGAUACGGGGGGGUAUACCCGAAAAAUGAAAAAACCCAAACUUUGAAGGUCGAUAUCUCGGCUUCUGUAGCAGCUAUCGGGAAAAUUCCAACGGUUUUGUCUUAGUUUCGUCAUUUUGAUUCCAACGAGACCAUCCGCAAGGUCGUAGCUCUUCUAAUAGCUGAGAUAUGGCAUUUUUGAUGCCCAUUUUUGGCCUCAAAAACGGACGUCGAAAACGACUUUUUCAGGAUUUUCAAAGUGCUCUCAUUCCCUUAGUUCUGCUCGGAUCCUGUUAUAACCCGGUGUUUUCGUAAUCUAGAUGAUCAGAAUAAGUCGCUGGUAUACUUAGUUUGAUUUCGAAAAAAUCAAUUUUUGGUGGAAAAUAUCGAUACGGGGGGGUAUACCCUAAAAAUGAAAAAACCCAAACUUUGAAGGUCGAUAUCUCGGCUUCUAUGGGAGCUAUCGGGAAAAUUCCAACGGUUUUGUCUUAGUUUCGUCAUUUUGAUUCCAACGAGACCAUCCGCAAGGUCGUAGCUUUUCUAAUAGCUGAGAUAUGGCAUUUUUGAUGCCCAUUUUUGGCCUCAAAAACGGACGUCGAAAACGACUUUUUCAGGAUUUUCAAAGUGCUCUCAUUCCCUUAGUUCUGCUCGGAUCCUGUUAUAACCCGGUGUUUUCGUAAUCUAGAUGAUCAGAAUAAGUCGCUGGUAUACUUAGUUUGAUUUCGAAAAAAUCAAUUUUUGGUGAAAAAAAUCGAUACGGGGGGGUAUACCCUAAAAAUGAAAAAACCCAAAUUUUGAAGGUCGAUAUCUCGGCUUCUAUGGGAGCUAUCGGGAAAAUUCCAACGGUUUUGUCUUAGUUUCGUCAUUUUGAUUCCAACGAGACCAUCCGCAAGGUCGUAGCUUUUCUAAUAGCUGAGAUAUGGCAUUUUUGAUGCCCAUUUUUGGCCUCAAAAACGGACGUCGAAAACGACUUUUUCAGGAUUUUCAAAGUGCUCUCAUUCCCUUAGUUCUGCUCGGAUCCUGUUAUAACCCGGUGUUUUCGUAAUCUAGAUGAUCAGAAUAAGUCGCUGGUAUACUUAGUUUGAUUUCGAAAAAAUCAAUUUUUGGUGAAAAAAAUCGAUACGGGGGGGUAUACCCGAAAAAUGAAAAAACCCAAACUUUGAAGGUCGAUAUCUCGGCUUCUGUAGCAGCUAUCGGGAAAAUUCCAACGGUUUUGUCUUAGUUUCGUCAUUUUGAUUCCAACGAGACCAUCCGCAAGGUCGUAGCUCUUCUAAUAGCUGAGAUAUGGCAUUUUUGAUGCCCAUUUUUGGCCUCAAAAACGGACGUCGAAAACGACUUUUUCAGGAUUUUCAAAGUGCUCUCAUUCCCUUAGUUCUGCUCGGAUCCUGUUAUAACCCGGUGUUUUCGUAAUCUAGAUGAUCAGAAUAAGUCGCUGGUAUACUUAGUUUGAUUUCGAAAAAAUCAAUUUUUGGUGGAAAAUAUCGAUACGGGGGGGUAUACCCUAAAAAUGAAAAAACCCAAACUUUGAAGGUCGAUAUCUCGGCUUCUAUGGGAGCUAUCGGGAAAAUUCCAACGGUUUUGUCUUAGUUUCGUCAUUUUGAUUCCAACGAGACCAUCCGCAAGGUCGUAGCUCUUCUAAUAGCUGAGAUAUGGCAUUUUUGAUGCCCAUUUUUGGCCUCAAAAACGGACGUCGAAAACGACUUUUUCAGGAUUUUCAAAGUGCUCUCAUUCCCUUAGUUCUGCUCGGAUCCUGUUAUAACCCGGUGUUUUCGUAAUCUAGAUGAUCAGAAUAAGUCGCUGGUAUACUUAGUUUGAUUUCGAAAAAAUCAAUUUUUGGCGAAAAAAAUCGAUACGGGGGGGUAUACCCGAAAAAUGAAAAAACCCAAACUUUGAAGGUCGAUAUCUCGGCUUCUAUGGCAGCUAUCGGGAAAAUUCCAACGGUUUUGUCUUAACUUCGUCAUUCUGAUUCCAACGAGACCAUCCGCAAGGUCGUAGCUCUUCUAAUAGCUGAGAUAUGGCAUUUUUGAUGCCCAUUUUUUGCCUCAAAAACGGACGUCAAAAAAGGCCUUUUUCAGGAUUUUCAAAGUGCUCUCAUUCCCUUAGUUCUGCUCGGAUCCUGUUAUAACCCGGUGUUUUCGUAAUCUAGAUGAUCAGAAUAAGUCGCUGGUAUACUUAGUUUGAUUUCGAAAAAAUCAAUUUUUGGUGAAAAAAAUCGAUACGGGGGGGUAUACCCGAAAAAUGAAAAAACCCAAACUUUGAAGGUCGAUAUCUCGGCUUCUGUAGCAGCUAUCGGGAAAAUUCCAACGGUUUUGUCUUAGUUUCGUCAUUCUGAUUCCAACGAGACCAUCCGCAAGGUCGUAGCUCUUCUAAUAGCUGAGAUAUGGCAUUUUUGAUGCCCAUUUUUGGCCUCAAAAACGGACGUCAAAAAAGGCCUUUUUCAGGAUUUUCAAAGUGCUCUCAUUCCCUUAGUUCUGCUCGGAUCCUGUUAUAACCCGGUGUUUUCGUAAUCUAGAUGAUCAGAAUAAGUCGCUGGUAUACUUAGUUUGAUUUCGAAAAAAUCAAUUUUUGGUGAAAAAAAUCGAUACGGGGGGGUAUACCCGAAAAAUGAAAAAACCCAAACUUUGAAGGUCGAUAUCUCGGCUUCUGUAGCAGCUAUCGGGAAAAUUCCAACGGUUUUGUCUUAGUUUCGUCAUUUUGAUUCCAACGAGACCAUCCGCAAGGUCGUAGCUCUUCUAAUAGCUGAGAUAUGGCAUUUUUGAUGCCCAUUUUUGGCCUCAAAAACGGACGUCGAAAACGACUUUUUCAGGAUUUUCAAAGUGCUCUCAUUCCCUUAGUUCUGCUCGGAUCCUGUUAUAACCCGGUGUUUUCGUAAUCUAGAUGAUCAGAAUAAGUCGCUGGUAUACUUAGUUUGAUUUCGAAAAAAUCAAUUUUUGGUGGAAAAUAUCGAUACGGGGGGGUAUACCCUAAAAAUGAAAAAACCCAAACUUUGAAGGUCGAUAUCUCGGCUUCUAUGGGAGCUAUCGGGAAAAUUCCAACGGUUUUGUCUUAGUUUCGUCAUUUUGAUUCCAACGAGACCAUCCGCAAGGUCGUAGCUCUUCUAAUAGCUGAGAUAUGGCAUUUUUGAUGCCCAUUUUUGGCCUCAAAAACGGACGUCGAAAACGACUUUUUCAGGAUUUUCAAAGUGCUCUCAUUCCCUUAGUUCUGCUCGGAUCUUGUUAUAACCCGGUGUUUUCGUAAUCUAGAUGAUCAGAAUAAGUCGCUGGUAUACUUAGUUUGAUUUCGAAAAAAUCAAUUUUUGGUGGAAAAUAUCGAUACGGGGGGGUAUACCCUAAAAAUGAAAAAACCCAAACUUUGAAGGUCGAUAUCUCGGCUUCUAUGGGAGCUAUCGGGAAAAUUCCAACGGUUUUGUCUUAGUUUCGUCAUUUUGAUUCCAACGAGACCAUCCGCAAGGUCGUAGCUUUUCUAAUAGCUGAGAUAUGGCAUUUUUGAUGCCCAUUUUUGGCCUCAAAAACGGACGUCGAAAACGACUUUUUCAGGAUUUUCAAAGUGCUCUCAUUCCCUUAGUUCUGCUCGGAUCCUGUUAUAACCCGGUGUUUUCGUAAUCUAGAUGAUCAGAAUAAGUCGCUGGUAUACUUAGUUUGAUUUCGAAAAAAUCAAUUUUUGGUGAAAAAAAUCGAUACGGGGGGGUAUACCCGAAAAAUGAAAAAACCCAAACUUUGAAGGUCGAUAUCUCGGCUUCUGUAGCAGCUAUCGGGAAAAUUCCAACGGUUUUGUCUUAGUUUCGUCAUUUUGAUUCCAACGAGACCAUCCGCAAGAUCGUAGCUUUUCUAAUAGCUGAGAUAUGGCAUUUUUGAUGCCCAUUUUUGGCCUCAAAAACGGACGUCGAAAACGACUUUUUCAGGAUUUUCAAAGUGCUCUCAUUCCCUUAGUUCUGCUCGGAUCCUGUUAUAACCCGGUGUUUUCGUAAUCUAGAUGAUCAGAAUAAGUCGCUGGUAUACUUAGUUUGAUUUCGAAAAAAUCAAUUUUUGGUGAAAAAAAUCGAUACGGGGGGGUAUACCCGAAAAAUGAAAAAACCCAAACUUUGAAGGUCGAUAUCUCGGCUUCUGUAGCAGCUAUCGGGAAAAUUCCAACGGUUUUGUCUUAGUUUCGUCAUUUUGAUUCCAACGAGACCAUCCGCAAGGUCGUAGCUCUUCUAAUAGCUGAGAUAUGGCAUUUUUGAUGCCCAUUUUUGGCCUCAAAAACGGACGUCGAAAACGACUUUUUCAGGAUUUUCAAAGUGCUCUCAUUCCCUUAGUUCUGCUCGGAUCCUGUUAUAACCCGGUGUUUUCGUAAUCUAGAUGAUCAGAAUAAGUCGCUGGUAUACUUAGUUUGAUUUCGAAAAAAUCAAUUUUUGGUGAAAAAAAUCGAUACGGGGGGGUAUACCCUAAAAAUGAAAAAACCCAAACUUUGAAGGUCGAUAUCUCGGCUUCUAUGGGAGCUAUCGGGAAAAUUCCAACGGUUUUGUCUUAGUUUCGUCAUUUUGAUUCCAACGAGACCAUCCGCAAGGUCGUAGCUUUUCUAAUAGCUGAGAUAUGGCAUUUUUGAUGCCCAUUUUUGGCCUCAAAAACGGACGUCGAAAACGACUUUUUCAGGAUUUUCAAAGUGCUCUCAUUCCCUUAGUUCUGCUCGGAUCUUGUUAUAACCCGGUGUUUUCGUAAUCUAGAUGAUCAGAAUAAGUCGCUGGUAUACUUAGUUUGAUUUCGAAAAAAUCAAUUUUUGGUGGAAAAUAUCGAUACGGGGGGGUAUACCCUAAAAAUGAAAAAACCCAAACUUUGAAGGUCGAUAUCUCGGCUUCUAUGGGAGCUAUCGGGAAAAUUCCAACGGUUUUGUCUUAGUUUCGUCAUUUUGAUUCCAACGAGACCAUCCGCAAGGUCGUAGCUUUUCUAAUAGCUGAGAUAUGGCAUUUUUGAUGCCCAUUUUUGGCCUCAAAAACGGACGUCGAAAACGACUUUUUCAGGAUUUUCAAAGUGCUCUCAUUCCCUUAGUUCUGCUCGGAUCCUGUUAUAACCCGGUGUUUUCGUAAUCUAGAUGAUCAGAAUAAGUCGCUGGUAUACUUAGUUUGAUUUCGAAAAAAUCAAUUUUUGGUGAAAAAAAUCGAUACGGGGGGGUAUACCCGAAAAAUGAAAAAACCCAAACUUUGAAGGUCGAUAUCUCGGCUUCUGUAGCAGCUAUCGGGAAAAUUCCAACGGUUUUGUCUUAGUUUCGUCAUUUUGAUUCCAACGAGACCAUCCGCAAGGUCGUAGCUUUUCUAAUAGCUGAGAUAUGGCAUUUUUGAUGCCCAUUUUUGGCCUCAAAAACGGACGUCGAAAACGACUUUUUCAGGAUUUUCAAAGUGCUCUCAUUCCCUUAGUUCUGCUCGGAUCCUGUUAUAACCCGGUGUUUUCGUAAUCUAGAUGAUCAGAAUAAGUCGCUGGUAUACUUAGUUUGAUUUCGAAAAAAUCAAUUUUUGGUGAAAAAAAUCGAUACGGGGGGGGUAUACCCGAAAAAUGAAAAAACCCAAACUUUGAAGGUCGAUAUCUCGGCUUCUGUAGCAGCUAUCGGGAAAAUUCCAACGGUUUUGUCUUAGUUUCGUCAUUUUGAUUCCAACGAGACCAUCCGCAAGGUCGUAGCUCUUCUAAUAGCUGAGAUAUGGCAUUUUUGAUGCCCAUUUUUGGCCUCAAAAACGGACGUCGAAAACGACUUUUUCAGGAUUUUCAAAGUGCUCUCAUUCCCUUAGUUCUGCUCGGAUCCUGUUAUAACCCGGUGUUUUCGUAAUCUAGAUGAUCAGAAUAAGUCGCUGGUAUAAUCAAUACUUAAAUCAAUUUUUGGUGGAAAAUAUCGAUACGGGGGGGUAUACCCUAAAAAUGAAAAAACCCAAACUUUGAAGGUCGAUAUCUCGGCUUCUAUGGGAGCUAUCGGGAAAAUUCCAACGGUUUUGUCUUAGUUUCGUCAUUUUGAUUCCAACGAGACCAUCCGCAAGGUCGUAGCUUUUCUAAUAGCUGAGAUAUGGCAUUUUUGAUGCCCAUUUUUGGCCUCAAAAACGGACGUCGAAAACGACUUUUUCAGGAUUUUCAAAGUGCUCUCAUUCCCUUAGUUCUGCUCGGAUCCUGUUAUAACCCGGUGUUUUCGUAAUCUAGAUGAUCAGAAUAAGUCGCUGGUAUACUUAGUUUGAUUUCGAAAAAAUCAAUUUUUGGUGAAAAAAAUCGAUACGGGGGGGUAUACCCGAAAAAUGAAAAAACCCAAACUUUGAAGGUCGAUAUCUCGGCUUCUGUAGCAGCUAUCGGGAAAAUUCCAACGGUUUUGUCUUAGUUUCGUCAUUUUGAUUCCAACGAGACCAUCCGCAAGGUCGUAGCUCUUCUAAUAGCUGAGAUAUGGCAUUUUUGAUGCCCAUUUUUGGCCUCAAAAACGGACGUCGAAAACGACUUUUUCAGGAUUUUCAAAGUGCUCUCAUUCCCUUAGUUCUGCUCGGAUCCUGUUAUAACCCGGUGUUUUCGUAAUCUAGAUGAUCAGAAUAAGUCGCUGGUAUACUUAGUUUGAUUUCGAAAAAAUCAAUUUUUGGUGGAAAAUAUCGAUACGGGGGGGUAUACCCGAAAAAUGAAAAAACCCAAACUUUGAAGGUCGAUAUCUCGGCUUCUGUAGCAGCUAUCGGGAAAAUUCCAACGGUUUUGUCUUAGUUUCGUCAUUUUGAUUCCAACGAGACCAUCCGCAAGGUCGUAGCUCUUCUAAUAGCUGAGAUAUGGCAUUUUUGAUGCCCAUUUUUGGCCUCAAAAACGGACGUCGAAAACGACUUUUUCAGGAUUUUCAAAGUGCUCUCAUUCCCUUAGUUCUGCUCGGAUCCUGUUAUAACCCGGUGUUUUCGUAAUCUAGAUGAUCAGAAUAAGUCGCUGGUAUACUUAGUUUGAUUUCGAAAAAAUCAAUUUUUGGUGAAAAAAAUCGAUACGGGGGGGUAUACCCUAAAAAUGAAAAAACCCAAACUUUGAAGGUCGAUAUCUCGGCUUCUAUGGGAGCUAUCGGGAAAAUUCCAACGGUUUUGUCUUAGUUUCGUCAUUUUGAUUCCAACGAGACCAUCCGCAAGGUCGUAGCUUUUCUAAUAGCUGAGAUAUGGCAUUUUUGAUGCCCAUUUUUGGCCUCAAAAACGGACGUCGAAAACGACUUUUUCAGGAUUUUCAAAGUGCUCUCAUUCCCUUAGUUCUGCUCGGAUCCUGUUAUAACCCGGUGUUUUCGUAAUCUAGAUGAUCAGAAUAAGUCGCUGGUAUACUUAGUUUGAUUUCGAAAAAAUCAAUUUUUGGUGAAAAAAAUCGAUACGGGGGGGUAUACCCUAAAAAUGAAAAAACUCAAACUUUGAAGGUCGAUAUCUCGGCUUCUAUGGGAGCUAUCGGGAAAAUUCCAACGGUUUUGUCUUAGUUUCGUCAUUUUGAUUCCAACGAGACCAUCCGCAAGGUCGUAGCUUUUCUAAUAGCUGAGAUAUGGCAUUUUUGAUGCCCAUUUUUGGCCUCAAAAACGGACGUCGAAAACGACUUUUUCAGGAUUUUCAAAGUGCUCUCAUUCCCUUAGUUCUGCUCGGAUCCUGUUAUAACCCGGUGUUUUCGUAAUCUAGAUGAUCAGAAUAAGUCGCUGGUAUACUUAGUUUGAUUUCGAAAAAAUCAAUUUUUGGUGAAAAAAAUCGAUACGGGGGGGUAUACCCGAAAAAUGAAAAAACCCAAACUUUGAAGGUCGAUAUCUCGGCUUCUGUAGCAGCUAUCGGGAAAAUUCCAACGGUUUUGUCUUAGUUUCGUCAUUUUGAUUCCAACGAGACCAUCCGCAAGGUCGUAGCUCUUCUAAUAGCUGAGAUAUGGCAUUUUUGAUGCCCAUUUUUGGCCUCAAAAACGGACGUCGAAAACGACUUUUUCAGGAUUUUCAAAGUGCUCUCAUUCCCUUAGUUCUGCUCGGAUCCUGUUAUAACCCGGUGUUUUCGUAAUCUAGAUGAUCAGAAUAAGUCGCUGGUAUAAUCAAUACUUAAAUCAAUUUUUGGUGGAAAAUAUCGAUACGGGGGGGUAUACCCUAAAAAUGAAAAAACCCAAACUUUGAAGGUCGAUAUCUCGGCUUCUAUGGGAGCUAUCGGGAAAAUUCCAACGGUUUUGUCUUAGUUUCGUCAUUUUGAUUCCAACGAGACCAUCCGCAAGGUCGUAGCUUUUCUAAUAGCUGAGAUAUGGCAUUUUUGAUGCCCAUUUUUGGCCUCAAAAACGGACGUCGAAAACGACUUUUUCAGGAUUUUCAAAGUGCUCUCAUUCCCUUAGUUCUGCUCGGAUCCUGUUAUAACCCGGUGUUUUCGUAAUCUAGAUGAUCAGAAUAAGUCGCUGGUAUACUUAGUUUGAUUUCGAAAAAAUCAAUUUUUGGUGGAAAAUAUCGAUACGGGGGGGUAUACCCUAAAAAUGAAAAAACCCAAACUUUGAAGGUCGAUAUCUCGGCUUCUAUGGGAGCUAUCGGGAAAAUUCCAACGGUUUUGUCUUAGUUUCGUCAUUUUGAUUCCAACGAGACCAUCCGCAAGGUCGUAGCUUUUCUAAUAGCUGAGAUAUGGCAUUUUUGAUGCCCAUUUUUGGCCUCAAAAACGGACGUCGAAAACGACUUUUUCAGGAUUUUCAAAGUGCUCUCAUUCCCUUAGUUCUGCUCGGAUCCUGUUAUAACCCGGUGUUUUCGUAAUCUAGAUGAUCAGAAUAAGUCGCUGGUAUACUUAGUUUGAUUUCGAAAAAAUCAAUUUUUGGUGAAAAAAAUCGAUACGGGGGGGUAUACCCGAAAAAUGAAAAAACCCAAACUUUGAAGGUCGAUAUCUCGGCUUCUGUAGCAGCUAUCGGGAAAAUUCCAACGGUUUUGUCUUAGUUUCGUCAUUUUGAUUCCAACUAGACCAUCCGCAAGGUCGUAGCUCUUCUAAUAGCUGAGAUAUGGCAUUUUUGAUGCCCAUUUUUGGCCUCAAAAACGGACGUCGAAAACGACUUUUUCAGGAUUUUCAAAGUGCUCUCAUUCCCUUAGUUCUGCUCGGAUCCUGUUAUAACCCGGUGUUUUCGUAAUCUAGAUGAUCAGAAUAAGUCGCUGGUAUACUUAGUUUGAUUUCGAAAAAAUCAAUUUUUGGUGGAAAAUAUCGAUACGGGGGGGUAUACCCUAAAAAUGAAAAAACCCAAACUUUGAAGGUCGAUAUCUCGGCUUCUAUGGGAGCUAUCGGGAAAAUUCCAACGGUUUUGUCUUAGUUUCGUCAUUUUGAUUCCAACGAGACCAUCCGCAAGGUCGUAGCUUUUCUAAUAGCUGAGAUAUGGCAUUUUUGAUGCCCAUUUUUGGCCUCAAAAACGGACGUCGAAAACGACUUUUUCAGGAUUUUCAAAGUGCUCUCAUUCCCUUAGUUCUGCUCGGAUCCUGUUAUAACCCGGUGUUUUCGUAAUCUAGAUGAUCAGAAUAAGUCGCUGGUAUACUUAGUUUGAUUUCGAAAAAAUCAAUUUUUGGUGAAAAAAAUCGAUACGGGGGGGUAUACCCGAAAAAUGAAAAAACCCAAACUUUGAAGGUCGAUAUCUCGGCUUCUGUAGCAGCUAUCGGGAAAAUUCCAACGGUUUUGUCUUAGUUUCGUCAUUUUGAUUCCAACUAGACCAUCCGCAAGGUCGUAGCUCUUCUAAUAGCUGAGAUAUGGCAUUUUUGAUGCCCAUUUUUGGCCUCAAAAACGGACGUCGAAAACGACUUUUUCAGGAUUUUCAAAGUGCUCUCAUUCCCUUAGUUCUGCUCGGAUCCUGUUAUAACCCGGUGUUUUCGUAAUCUAGAUGAUCAGAAUAAGUCGCUGGUAUACUUAGUUUGAUUUCGAAAAAAUCAAUUUUUGGUGGAAAAUAUCGAUACGGGGAGGUAUACCCUAAAAAUGAAAAAACCCAAACUUUGAAGGUCGAUAUCUCGGCUUCUAUGGGAGCUAUCGGGAAAAUUCCAACGGUUUUGUCUUAGUUUCGUCAUUUUGAUUCCAACGAGACCAUCCGCAAGGUCGUAGCUUUUCUAAUAGCUGAGAUAUGGCAUUUUUGAUGCCCAUUUUUGGCCUCAAAAACGGACGUCGAAAACGACUUUUUCAGGAUUUUCAAAGUGCUCUCAUUCCCUUAGUUCUGCUCGGAUCCUGUUAUAACCCGGUGUUUUCGUAAUCUAGAUGAUCAGAAUAAGUCGCUGGUAUACUUAGUUUGAUUUCGAAAAAAUCAAUUUUUGGUGGAAAAUAUCGAUACGGGGGGGUAUACCCUAAAAAUGAAAAAACCCAAACUUUGAAGGUCGAUAUCUCGGCUUCUAUGGGAGCUAUCGGGAAAAUUCCAACGGUUUUGUCUUAGUUUCGUCAUUUUGAUUCCAACGAGACCAUCCGCAAGGUCGUAGCUUUUCUAAUAGCUGAGAUAUGGCAUUUUUGAUGCCCAUUUUUGGCCUCAAAAACGGACGUCGAAAACGACUUUUUCAGGAUUUUCAAAGUGCUCUCAUUCCCUUAGUUCUGCUCGGAUCCUGUUAUAACCCGGUGUUUUCGUAAUCUAGAUGAUCAGAAUAAGUCGCUGGUAUACUUAGUUUGAUUUCGAAAAAAUCAAUUUUUGGUGAAAAAAAUCGAUACGGGGGGGUAUACCCUAAAAAUGAAAAAACUCAAACUUUGAAGGUCGAUAUCUCGGCUUCUAUGGGAGCUAUCGGGAAAAUUCCAACGGUUUUGUCUUAGUUUCGUCAUUUUGAUUCCAACGAGACCAUCCGCAAGGUCGUAGCUUUUCUAAUAGCUGAGAUAUGGCAUUUUUGAUGCCCAUUUUUGGCCUCAAAAACGGACGUCGAAAACGACUUUUUCAGGAUUUUCAAAGUGCUCUCAUUCCCUUAGUUCUGCUCGGAUCCUGUUAUAACCCGGUGUUUUCGUAAUCUAGAUGAUCAGAAUAAGUCGCUGGUAUACUUAGUUUGAUUUCGAAAAAAUCAAUUUUUGGUGAAAAAAAUCGAUACGGGGGGGUAUACCCGAAAAAUGAAAAAACCCAAACUUUGAAGGUCGAUAUCUCGGCUUCUGUAGCAGCUAUCGGGAAAAUUGUAACGGUUUUGUCUUAGUUUCGUCAUUUUGAUUCCAACGAGACCAUCCGCAAGGUCGUAGCUCUUCUAAUAGCUGAGAUAUGGCAUUUUUGAUGCCCAUUUUUGGCCUCAAAAACGGACGUCGAAAACGACUUUUUCAGGAUUUUCAAAGUGCUCUCAUUCCCUUAGUUCUGCUCGGAUCCUGUUAUAACCCGGUGUUUUCGUAAUCUAGAUGAUCAGAAUAAGUCGCUGGUAUACUUAGUUUGAUUUCGAAAAAAUCAAUUUUUGGUGAAAAAAAUCGAUACGGGGGGGUAUACCCUAAAAAUGAAAAAACCCAAACUUUGAAGGUCGAUAUCUCGGCUUCUAUGGGAGCUAUCGGGAAAAUUCCAACGGUUUUCUCUUAGUUUCGUCAUUCUGAUUCCAACGAGACCAUCCGCAAGGUCGUAGCUCUUCUAAUAGCUGAGAUAUGGCAUUUUUGAUGCCCAUUUUUGGCCUCAAAAACGGACGUCGAAAACGACUUUUUCAGGAUUUUCAAAGUGCUCUCAUUCCCUUAGUUCUGCUCGGAUCCUGUUAUAACCCGGUGUUUUCGUAAUCUAGAUGAUCAGAAUAAGUCGCUGGUAUACUUAGUUUGAUUUCGAAAAAAUCAAUUUUUGGUGGAAAAUAUCGAUACGGGGGGGUAUACCCUAAAAAUGAAAAAACCCAAACUUUGAAGGUCGAUAUCUCGGCUUCUAUGGGAGCUAUCGGGAAAAUUCCAACGGUUUUGUCUUAGUUUCGUCAUUUUGAUUCCAACGAGACCAUCCGCAAGGUCGUAGCUUUUCUAAUAGCUGAGAUAUGGCAUUUUUGAUGCCCAUUUUUGGCCUCAAAAACGGACGUCGAAAACGACUUUUUCAGGAUUUUCAAAGUGCUCUCAUUCCCUUAGUUCUGCUCGGAUCCUGUUAUAACCCGGUGUUUUCGUAAUCUAGAUGAUCAGAAUAAGUCGCUGGUAUACUUAGUUUGAUUUCGAAAAAAUCAAUUUUUGGUGAAAAAAAUCGAUACGGGGGGGUAUACCCGAAAAAUGAAAAAACCCAAACUUUGAAGGUCGAUAUCUCGGCUUCUGUAGCAGCUAUCGGGAAAAUUCCAACGGUUUUGUCUUAGUUUCGUCAUUUUGAUUCCAACUAGACCAUCCGCAAGGUCGUAGCUCUUCUAAUAGCUGAGAUAUGGCAUUUUUGAUGCCCAUUUUUGGCCUCAAAAACGGACGUCGAAAACGACUUUUUCAGGAUUUUCAAAGUGCUCUCAUUCCCUUAGUUCUGCUCGGAUCCUGUUAUAACCCGGUGUUUUCGUAAUCUAGAUGAUCAGAAUAAGUCGCUGGUAUACUUAGUUUGAUUUCGAAAAAAUCAAUUUUUGGUGGAAAAUAUCGAUACGGGGGGGUAUACCCUAAAAAUGAAAAAACCCAAACUUUGAAGGUCGAUAUCUCGGCUUCUAUGGGAGCUAUCGGGAAAAUUCCAACGGUUUUGUCUUAGUUUCGUCAUUUUGAUUCCAACGAGACCAUCCGCAAGGUCGUAGCUUUUCUAAUAGCUGAGAUAUGGCAUUUUUGAUGCCCAUUUUUGGCCUCAAAAACGGACGUCGAAAACGACUUUUUCAGGAUUUUCAAAGUGCUCUCAUUCCCUUAGUUCUGCUCGGAUCCUGUUAUAACCCGGUGUUUUCGUAAUCUAGAUGAUCAGAAUAAGUCGCUGGUAUACUUAGUUUGAUUUCGAAAAAAUCAAUUUUUGGUGAAAAAAAUCGAUACGGGGGGGUAUACCCGAAAAAUGAAAAAACCCAAACUUUGAAGGUCGAUAUCUCGGCUUCUGUAGCAGCUAUCGGGAAAAUUCCAACGGUUUUGUCUUAGUUUCGUCAUUUUGAUUCCAACGAGACCAUCCGCAAGGUCGUAGCUCUUCUAAUAGCUGAGAUAUGGCAUUUUUGAUGCCCAUUUUUGGCCUCAAAAACGGACGUCGAAAACGACUUUUUCAGGAUUUUCAAAGUGCUCUCAUUCCCUUAGUUCUGCUCGGAUCCUGUUAUAACCCGGUGUUUUCGUAAUCUAGAUGAUCAGAAUAAGUCGCUGGUAUACUUAGUUUGAUUUCGAAAAAAUCAAUUUUUGGUGGAAAAUAUCGAUACGGGGGGGUAUACCCGAAAAAUGAAAAAACCCAAACUUUGAAGGUCGAUAUCUCGGCUUCUGUAGCAGCUAUCGGGAAAAUUCCAACGGUUUUGUCUUAGUUUCGUCAUUUUGAUUCCAACGAGACCAUCCGCAAGGUCGUAGCUCUUCUAAUAGCUGAGAUAUGGCAUUUUUGAUGCCCAUUUUUGGCCUCAAAAACGGACGUCGAAAACGACUUUUUCAGGAUUUUCAAAGUGCUCUCAUUCCCUUAGUUCUGCUCGGAUCCUGUUAUAACCCGGUGUUUUCGUAAUCUAGAUGAUCAGAAUAAGUCGCUGGUAUACUUAGUUUGAUUUCGAAAAAAUCAAUUUUUGGUGAAAAAAAUCGAUACGGGGGGGUAUACCCUAAAAAUGAAAAAACCCAAACUUUGAAGGUCGAUAUCUCGGCUUCUAUGGGAGCUAUCGGGAAAAUUCCAACGGUUUUGUCUUAGUUUCGUCAUUUUGAUUCCAACGAGACCAUCCGCAAGGUCGUAGCUCUUCUAAUAGCUGAGAUAUGGCAUUUUUGAUGCCCAUUUUUGGCCUCAAAAACGGACGUCGAAAACGACUUUUUCAGGAUUUUCAAAGUGCUCUCAUUCCCUUAGUUCUGCUCGGAUCCUGUUAUAACCCGGUGUUUUCGUAAUCUAGAUGAUCAGAAUAAGUCGCUGGUAUACUUAGUUUGAUUUCGAAAAAAUCAAUUUUUGGUGAAAAAAAUCGAUACGGGGGGGUAUACCCUAAAAAUGAAAAAACCCAAACUUUGAAGGUCGAUAUCUCGGCUUCUAUGGGAGCUAUCGGGAAAAUUCCAACGGUUUUCUCUUAGUUUCGUCAUUCUGAUUCCAACGAGACCAUCCGCAAGGUCGUAGCUCUUCUAAUAGCUGAGAUAUGGCAUUUUUGAUGCCCAUUUUUGGCCUCAAAAACGGACGUCGAAAACGACUUUUUCAGGAUUUUCAAAGUGCUCUCAUUCCCUUAGUUCUGCUCGGAUCCUGUUAUAACCCGGUGUUUUCGUAAUCUAGAUGAUCAGAAUAAGUCGCUGGUAUACUUAGUUUGAUUUCGAAAAAAUCAAUUUUUGGUGGAAAAUAUCGAUACGGGGGGGUAUACCCUAAAAAUGAAAAAACCCAAACUUUGAAGGUCGAUAUCUCGGCUUCUAUGGGAGCUAUCGGGAAAAUUCCAACGGUUUUGUCUUAGUUUCGUCAUUUUGAUUCCAACGAGACCAUCCGCAAGGUCGUAGCUUUUCUAAUAGCUGAGAUAUGGCAUUUUUGAUGCCCAUUUUUGGCCUCAAAAACGGACGUCGAAAACGACUUUUUCAGGAUUUUCAAAGUGCUCUCAUUCCCUUAGUUCUGCUCGGAUCCUGUUAUAACCCGGUGUUUUCGUAAUCUAGAUGAUCAGAAUAAGUCGCUGGUAUACUUAGUUUGAUUUCGAAAAAAUCAAUUUUUGGUGAAAAAAAUCGAUACGGGGGGGUAUACCCGAAAAAUGAAAAAACCCAAACUUUGAAGGUCGAUAUCUCGGCUUCUGUAGCAGCUAUCGGAAAAAUUCCAACGGUUUUGUCUUAGUUUCGUCAUUUUGAUUCCAACGAGACCAUCCGCAAGGUCGUAGCUCUUCUAAUAGCUGAGAUAUGGCAUUUUUGAUGCCCAUUUUUGGCCUCAAAAACGGACGUCGAAAACGACUUUUUCAGGAUUUUCAAAGUGCUCUCAUUCCCUUAGUUCUGCUCGGAUCCUGUUAUAACCCGGUGUUUUCGUAAUCUAGAUGAUCAGAAUAAGUCGCUGGUAUACUUAGUUUGAUUUCGAAAAAAUCAAUUUUUGGUGGAAAAUAUCGAUACGGGGGGGUAUACCCUAAAAAUGAAAAUACCCAAACUUUGAAGGUCGAUAUCUCGGCUUCUAUGGGAGCUAUCGGGAAAAUUCCAACGGUUUUGUCUUAGUUUCGUCAUUCUGAUUCCAACGAGACCAUCCGCAAGCUCGUAGCUCUUCUAAUAGCUGAGAUAUGGCAUUUUUGAUGCCCAUUUUUGGCCUCAAAAACGGACGUCGAAAACGACUUUUUCAGGAUUUUCAAAGUGCUCUCAUUCCCUUAGUUCUGCUCGGAUCCUGUUAUAACCCGGUGUUUUCGUAAUCUAGAUGAUCAGAAUAAGUCGCUGGUAUACUUAGUUUGAUUUCGAAAAAAUCAAUUUUUGGUGAAAAAAAUCGAUACGGGGGGGUAUACCCGAAAAAUGAAAAAACCCAAACUUUGAAGGUCGAUAUCUCGGCUUCUGUAGCAGCUAUCGGGAAAAUUCCAACGGUUUUGUCUUAGUUUCGUCAUUUUGAUUCCAACGAGACCAUCCGCAAGGUCGUAGCUCUUCUAAUAGCUGAGAUAUGGCAUUUUUGAUGCCCAUUUUUGGCCUCAAAAACGGACGUCGAAAACGACUUUUUCAGGAUUUUCAAAGUGCUCUCAUUCCCUUAGUUCUGCUCGGAUCUUGUUAUAACCCGGUGUUUUCGUAAUCUAGAUGAUCAGAAUAAGUCGCUGGUAUACUUAGUUUGAUUUCGAAAAAAUCAAUUUUUGGUGGAAAAUAUCGAUACGGGGGGGUAUACCCUAAAAAUGAAAAAACCCAAACUUUGAAGGUCGAUAUCUCGGCUUCUAUGGGAGCUAUCGGGAAAAUUCCAACGGUUUUGUCUUAGUUUCGUCAUUCUGAUUCAAACGAGACCAUCCGCAAGGUCGUAGCUCUUCUAAUAGCUGAAAUAUGGCAUUUUUGAUGCCCAUUUUUGGCCUCGAAAACGACUUUUUCAGGAUUUUCAAAGUGCUCUCAUUCCCUUAGUUCUGCUCGGAUCCUGUUAUAACCCGGUGUUUUCGUAAUCUGGAUGAUCAGAAUAAGUCGCUGGUAUACUUAGUUUGAUUUCGAAAAAAUCAAUUUUUGGUGGAAAAUAUCGAUACGGGGGGGUAUACCCUAAAAAUGAAAAAACCCAAACUUUGAAGGUCGAUAUCUCGGCUUCUAUGGGAGCUAUCGGGAAAAUUCCAACGGUUUUGUCUUAGUUUCGUAAUUCUGAUUCCAACGAGACCAUCCGCAAGGUCGUAGCUCUUCUAAUAGCUGAGAUAUGGCAUUUUUGAUGCCCAUUUUUGGCCUCAAAAACGGACGUCGAAAACGACUUUUUCAGGAUUUUCAAAGUGCUCUCAUUCCCUUAGUUCUGCUCGGAUCCUGUUAUAACCCGGUGUUUUCGUAAUCUAGAUGAUCAGAAUAAGUCGCUGGUAUACUUAGUUUGAUUUCGAAAAAAUCAAUUUUUGGUGGAAAAUAUCGAUACGGGGGGGUAUACCCUAAAAAUGAAAAAACCCAAACUUUGAAGGUCGAUAUCUCGGCUUCUAUGGGAGCUAUCGGGAAAAUUCCAACGGUUUUGUCUUAGUUUCGUCAUUUUGAUUCCAACGAGACCAUCCGCAAGGUCGUAGCUUUUCUAAUAGCUGAGAUAUGGCAUUUUUGAUGCCCAUUUUUGGCCUCAAAAACGGACGUCGAAAACGACUUUUUCAGGAUUUUCAAAGUGCUCUCAUUCCCUUAGUUCUGCUCGGAUCCUGUUAUAACCCGGUGUUUUCGUAAUCUAGAUGAUCAGAAUAAGUCGCUGGUAUACUUAGUUUGAUUUCGAAAAAAUCAAUUUUUGGUGAAAAAAAUCGAUACGGGGGGGUAUACCCGAAAAAUGAAAAAACCCAAACUUUGAAGGUCGAUAUCUCGGCUUCUGUAGCAGCUAUCGGGAAAAUUCCAACGGUUUUGUCUUAGUUUCGUCAUUUUGAUUCCAACGAGACCAUCCGCAAGGUCGUAGCUUUUCUAAUAGCUGAGAUAUGGCAUUUUUGAUGCCCAUUUUUGGCCUCAAAAACGGACGUCGAAAACGACUUUUUCAGGAUUUUCAAAGUGCUCUCAUUCCCUUAGUUCUGCUCGGAUCCUGUUAUAACCCGGUGUUUUCGUAAUCUAGAUGAUCAGAAUAAGUCGCUGGUAUACUUAGUUUGAUUUCGAAAAAAUCAAUUUUUGGUGAAAAAAAUCGAUACGGGGGGGUAUACCCGAAAAAUGAAAAAACCCAAACUUUGAAGGUCGAUAUCUCGGCUUCUGUAGCAGCUAUCGGGAAAAUUCCAACGGUUUUGUCUUAGUUUCGUCAUUUUGAUUCCAACGAGACCAUCCGCAAGGUCGUAGCUCUUCUAAUAGCUGAGAUAUGGCAUUUUUGAUGCCCAUUUUUGGCCUCAAAAACGGACGUCGAAAACGACUUUUUCAGGAUUUUCAAAGUGCUCUCAUUCCCUUAGUUAUGCUCGGAUCCUGUUAUAACCCGGUGUUUUCGUAAUCUAGAUGAUCAGAAUAAGUCGCUGGUAUACUUAGUUUGAUUUCGAAAAAAUCAAUUUUUGGUGAAAAAAAUCGAUACGGGGGGGUAUACCCUAAAAAUGAAAAAACCCAAACUUUGAAGGUCGAUAUCUCGGCUUCUAUGGGAGCUAUCGGGAAAAUUCCAACGGUUUUCUCUUAGUUUCGUCAUUCUGAUUCCAACGAGACCAUCCGCAAGGUCGUAGCUCUUCUAAUAGCUGAGAUAUGGCAUUUUUGAUGCCCAUUUUUGGCCUCAAAAACGGACGUCGAAAACGACUUUUUCAGGAUUUUCAAAGUGCUCUCAUUCCCUUAGUUCUGCUCGGAUCCUGUUAUAACCCGGUGUUUUCGUAAUCUAGAUGAUCAGAAUAAGUCGCUGGUAUACUUAGUUUGAUUUCGAAAAAAUCAAUUUUUGGUGGAAAAUAUCGAUACGGGGGGGUAUACCCUAAAAAUGAAAAAACCCAAACUUUGAAGGUCGAUAUCUCGGCUUCUGUAGCAGCUAUCGGGAAAAUUCCAACGGUUUUGUCUUAGUUUCGUCAUUUUGAUUCCAACGAGACCAUCCGCAAGGUCGUAGCUCUUCUAAUAGCUGAGAUAUGGCAUUUUUGAUGCCCAUUUUUGGCCUCAAAAACGGACGUCGAAAACGACUUUUUCAGGAUUUUCAAAGUGCUCUCAUUCCCUUAGUUAUGCUCGGAUCCUGUUAUAACCCGGUGUUUUCGUAAUCUAGAUGAUCAGAAUAAGUCGCUGGUAUACUUAGUUUGAUUUCGAAAAAAUCAAUUUUUGGUGAAAAAAAUCGAUACGGGGGGGUAUACCCUAAAAAUGAAAAAACCCAAACUUUGAAGGUCGAUAUCUCGGCUUCUAUGGGAGCUAUCGGGAAAAUUCCAACGGUUUUGUCUUAGUUUCGUCAUUUUGAUUCCAACGAGACCAUCCGCAAGGUCGUAGCUCUUCUAAUAGCUGAGAUAUGGCAUUUUUGAUGCCCAUUUUUGGCCUCAAAAACGGACGUCGAAAACGACUUUUUCAGGAUUUUCAAAGUGCUCUCAUUCCCUUAGUUCUGCUCGGAUCUUGUUAUAACCCGGUGUUUUCGUAAUCUAGAUGAUCAGAAUAAGUCGCUGGUAUACUUAGUUUGAUUUCGAAAAAAUCAAUUUUUGGUGGAAAAUAUCGAUACGGGGGGGUAUACCCUAAAAAUGAAAAAACCCAAACUUUGAAGGUCGAUAUCUCGGCUUCUAUGGGAGCUAUCGGGAAAAUUCCAACGGUUUUGUCUUAGUUUCGUCAUUCUGAUUCAAACGAGACCAUCCGCAAGGUCGUAGCUCUUCUAAUAGCUGAAAUAUGGCAUUUUUGAUGCCCAUUUUUGGCCUCGAAAACGACUUUUUCAGGAUUUUCAAAGUGCUCUCAUUCCCUUAGUUCUGCUCGGAUCUUGUUAUAACCCGGUGUUUUCGUAAUCUAGAUGAUCAGAAUAAGUCGCUGGUAUACUUAGUUUGAUUUCGAAAAAAUCAAUUUUUGGUGGAAAAUAUCGAUACGGGGGGGUAUACCCUAAAAAUGAAAAAACCCAAACUUUGAAGGUCGAUAUCUCGGCUUCUAUGGGAGCUAUCGGGAAAAUUCCAACGGUUUUGUCUUAGUUUCGUCAUUUUGAUUCCAACGAGACCAUCCGCAAGGUCGUAGCUCUUCUAAUAGCUGAGAUAUGGCAUUUUUGAUGCCCAUUUUUGGCCUCAAAAACGGACGUCGAAAACGACUUUUUCAGGAUUUUCAAAGUGCUCUCAUUCCCUUAGUUCUGCUCGGAUCUUGUUAUAACCCGGUGUUUUCGUAAUCUAGAUGAUCAGAAUAAGUCGCUGGUAUACUUAGUUUGAUUUCGAAAAAAUCAAUUUUUGGUGGAAAAUAUCGAUACGGGGGGUAUACCCUAAAAAUGAAAAAACCCAAACUUUGAAGGUCGAUAUCUCGGCUUCUAUGGGAGCUAUCGGGAAAAUUCCAACGGUUUUGUCUUAGUUUCGUAAUUCUGAUUCCAACGAGACCAUCCGCAAGGUCGUAGCUCUUCUAAUAGCUGAGAUAUGGCAUUUUUGAUGCCCAUUUUUGGCCUCAAAAACGGACGUCGAAAACGACUUUUUCAGGAUUUUCAAAGUGCUCUCAUUCCCUUAGUUCUGCUCGGAUCCUGUUAUAACCCGGUGUUUUCGUAAUCUAGAUGAUCAGAAUAAGUCGCUGGUAUACUUAGUUUGAUUUCGAAAAAAUCAAUUUUUGGUGGAAAAUAUCGAUACGGGGGGGUAUACCCUAAAAAUGAAAAAACCCAAACUUUGAAGGUCGAUAUCUCGGCUUCUAUGGGAGCUAUCGGGAAAAUUCCAACGGUUUUGUCUUAGUUUCGUCAUUCUGAUUCCAACGAGACCAUCCGCAAGGUCGUAGCUCUUCUAAUAGCUGAGAUAUGGCAUUUUUGAUGCCAUUUUUGGCCUCAAAAACGGACGUCGAAAACGACUUUUUCAGGAUUUUCAAAGUGCUCUCAUUCCCUUAGUUCUGCUCGGAUCCUGUUAUAACCCGGUGUUUUCGUAAUCUAGAUGAUCAGAAUAAGUCGCUGGUAUACUUAGUUUGAUUUCGAAAAAAUCAAUUUUUGGUGAAAAAAAAUCGAUACGGGGGGGUAUACCCGAAAAAUGAAAAAACUCAAACUUUGAAGGUCGAUAUCUCGGCUUCUG